rnacentral:rRNA from 1 species
GAACGCUGAAGCAUCUUCGGGUGUGGAUGAGUGGCGAACGGGUGAGUAACACGUGGGUAACCUGCCCUGUACUUUGGGAUAAGCCCUGGAAACGGGGUCUAAUACCGAAUAUGACCUUGCGCCGCAUGGUGUAGGGUGGAAAGUUUCGGCGGUACAGGAUGGGCCCGCGGCCUAUCAGCUUGUUGGUGGGGUAGUGGCCUACCAAGGCGACGACGGGUAGCCGGCCUGAGAGGGUGACCGGCCACACUGGGACUGAGACACGGCCCAGACUCCUACGGGAGGCAGCAGUGGGGAAUAUUGCACAAUGGGCGGAAGCCUGAUGCAGCGACGCCGCGUGAGGGAUGACGGCCUUCGGGUUGUAAACCUCUUUCGCCAGGGACGAAGCGUAAGUGACGGUACCUGGAGAAGAAGCACCGGCUAACUACGUGCCAGCAGCCGCGGUAAUACGUAGGGUGCAAGCGUUGUCCGGAAUUAUUGGGCGUAAAGAGCUCGUAGGCGGCUUGUCGCGUCUGCUGUGAAAAUCCGGGGCUUAACUCCGGACCUGCAGUGGAUACGGGCAGGCUUGAGUUCGGUAGGGGAGACUGGAAUUCCUGGUGUAGCGGUGAAAUGCGCAGAUAUCAGGAGGAACACCGGUGGCGAAGGCGGGUCUCUGGGCCGAUACUGACGCUGAGGAGCGAAAGCGUGG